rnacentral:misc_RNA from 1 species
UGCCUCUGCCUCUGAGCACGAGCGUGCGCGUGUCAGUGCAGACACUUUCUGCGACUUCUUUACGAAUUGCGGCGCCUCUUUGUUAGUGCUUGCUCGUUUCGUUCCCAUCAUAUUUUCAUUCGGGCACUGCAACUGGCAUCGUGCCUCUCUUUGCUUGCCUCCAUCUUGUCGUUGCCUCUAGCGUUUCUAGUGACGCGGCUGCUCUCGUCCGGUCAUCACACCUAACCAUGGCAGUGGACUUUGACUUGACGCUUUUCAUCAAGGAGACACAACUGCAGCACGGUCUCCGCGCCGAGGACUAUGCCCGCUAUCACCACUACACCACGAACCGCCUCGCCACACUACGGCGGCAGCUGAGCUUGUCUAACGACAAAAAAAAGUUUUUGCGCAAGGAGGUGACUCCACAGAACGCGACGGACGUGCGGCAUCUGAUGCUGCUCGCCUUGUACGCCGAGCGUUGUUGGGCAGAGGCGGAGGCGAUGCAGGUACAGCUUCAAGCUAAGAAGGAGUCGCGCGGCACCGAUGCCAACAAGCCAAAGGGUGGCGUGCCACCACAAGAUCAGUAUCGCAAGCGCCUGAACAAGUCAGUAAAGUGGGCCUCGAAGCUGCACGAGGUGGCCAAGGAGGUCGCCUCAGACCGCGCCAAGAAGGAGUGCUCAGCGUACUUGAAGGACACCGCCGGCCGCUGCCACGCCUCGCACGGAAAGUUCAAGGAGGCGAAGGAGGCGUUUUUAGAAGCCCGCGAAACCUACGCGACGCUGCGCUCCAUUAGCAGCGAGUCUCAGUGGGUCGUGAUCGCGUGCAAGAUAAGCGAGCUCGACGACCGAGUUACAUACUGCAUGCAGCGCCUCGGCGAGGACCCCACUACCUACCGACCCGCGCCGAUUUUUGUCACCGCCAGCGCCGAUGGCGCGGUCGCAGACAGUGCGGUGCCGAUGGGCGGUGCGUCGCAGCUGUCGUGGAACGGACGUACGCUGAGUGUCUACAGCAUCAAGGUCAAGGACGCGCUGCGCGAGGCCCAGGCGGUGGAGGUGGAGUCGACCGAGGCGAAGCUGCAGGAAACGCGCGGGGUGGUGCCGGUGGGCCAGUCGAAUCGUGUUCUCGAUCUAAUGGACCGCCGUAUCAACUACUACAACGAUGCACUUACACACGCUCGCCAGGACCUGCGCGCGGUACCAGAGGGAGCGGGCAAAACCGAGCACCAGCUUAUCGUGCACUGCAUUCUCUUUCACGUGGCGCAGGAGACCCUGCGGCGCACCCUCUUCCUGGCCGACCUUUACCGCCGCCGUUUCGAAGCAACAGAGCGGACGCUGAAGAGCACCGCUGCCAGCUCGUCUUCGCCGUCGUUUCCUCGUGGGCACAAGCAGCAGCAGAAGCAUCGAAAGAAGAAGGCAGAGGUCGCGCCAACGCAGUACGCGUCGCCGCUGGAAGUUGUCCGCCUCUACCAGGCGGCGGCUGGGAGCGUGGAGGAGAUGGAGCUGCUGCCCGGCGUUGCGGGGCGCGAGGACGUCGAGGCGUUGCAUGCUGUCUGCUCGGCCGGUCAACUCUUCUUCACCGGCGAGAGCUGGCGAUUGUCAGAGGCGUGGUCAACAGCGAUGAAGUACUACUGCGACGCCCUGGCGCUCCUGCGGCGGGUAAAGGGUCCGCAUGUGGCGUCGAUGCAGGAGCUUAUCGAACAGCGCUUGAUGCAGGGGGCUGCCGAGGUGGUGCUUGCCGCAUCAUUCAUGGGUGCGGGCGGCAAUACACGUAGAUCGACGCCGUUGAUGACUUACCUGGUUGACGCAGGCGAGGAAACGACUCAGGUGGCGCAGGGAGUCGUGCGCUUUCCGCCCGACUACCAUGCUGCUCCGUGCAAGCCUGUGUUCGUCGACGUAGCGUCGACGUUCCUGAACUACCCGGUGGACAGCGGAGACGAGGCGGAUUCCGACGAGCGUUCGGGUGCUAAGACCGCAACCGUGCCGGCAACGAUGAAGAACACAAGUGCAGCAGCGGGACAACCGAAGAAGAAGGGUUGGAUGUUUGGCUGGAGAAGUUAGGUCGAUUGUGAGUUGAGCACGAGGGAACGGGACACAAUAAGGUGCGCCACACUGUGGCGUGUGCUACGCUGCGUGAGCGACCCUUUAUGCUGAUUCCACUGCGCACUCUUUCACACGUCUUUUUGUUAUCCCUGUGUAAGGGGGAUAGGCACUCUGUUUUUUUUUUUCGCCUCCUUUCGAGCGUUGACGCGCCUUUGUUUUUCAAUCUCGAGGUUAUUGCUGCACCCCGUCUCUCUGUGUGUGUGUGGAUGCUGGUGUGGGUGUCGGUCUGGGUCAUCACGCUUGGUUUCUCUCGUUCGCCCUUUGCGCUCAGUUUAGCCAUUUUUUUGAUGCCCUUUUCCAUCUUUUUUUUGUAGCUUCACUGUGACCAAAACAAGAGCAAGUGCCCAAGAAAAAUGGGCGAUCAGUGCAACAGGGCACCUCUCUUCUUGUGUGUGUGUGUGUGAGUGCGAGAGAGAAUGACGAUGGGCAGCGGGGAAACCGAGUAUGGAAUCAUCACUGCUAUAGAUUAUCGGGCGCCUCACUGAACAG